rnacentral:rRNA from 1 species
GAAUGUGUGGUGUAGCGGUGAAAUGCUUAGAUAUCACACAGAACACCGACUGCGAAGGCAGCACACUAAGUCAUUAUUGACGCUGAGGCACGAAAGUGUGGGGAUCAAACAGGAUUAGAUACCCUGGUAGUCCACACUGUAAACGAUGAUAACUCGCUGUCGGCGAUACACAGUCGGUGGCCAAGCGAAAGCAUUAAGUUAUCCACCUGGGGAGUACGACCGCAAGGUUGAAACUCAAAGGAAUUGACGGGGGCCCGCACAAGCGGAGGAACAUGUGGUUUAAUUCGAUGAUACGCGAGGAACCUUACCCGGGCUCGAACGGUGCAUGAAUAUACGAGAGAUUGUAUAGUCCUUCGGGACAUGUAUCGAGGUGCUGCAUGGUUGUCGUCAGCUCGUGCCGUGAGGUGUCGGCUUAAGUGCCAUAACGAGCGCAACCCUUGUCAUUAGUUGCCAUCAGGUCAAGCUGGGGACUUUAAUGAGACUGCCACCGUAAGGUGUGAGGAAGGGGGGGAUGACGUCAAAUCAGCACGGCCCUUAUGUCCGGGGCGACACACGUGUUACAAUGGGAGGUACAGAGGGCAGCUAUCCGGUGACGGAAUGCUAAUCUCCAAAACCUUUCUCAGUUCGGAUUGGAGUCUGCAACUCGACUCCAUGAAGGUGGAUUCGCUAGUAAUCGCGCAUCAGCCAUGGCGCGGUGAAUACGUUCCCGGGCCUUGUACACACCGCCCGUCAAGCCAUGGAAGCUUGGGGUGCCUGAAGUUCGUGACCGCAAGGAGCGACCUAAGGCAAAACAGGUAACUGGGGCUAAGUCGUAACAAGGUAACCGUAAAGGGCGAAUCGUAACUCNC